AAAUUAUAAUUCCUUGAAUAUGUAUCCUAAUAUUAGACCCCCAUUUAGUUUUAUUUAUGAACAUGGAAUUUGCAAGGAAACAAUAUAAUACUUAAUGGGGGUCUAUUAUUAGGAUACAUUUUCAUGGAACAAUAAUUUUG
rnacentral:pre_miRNA from 1 species